CCUACGGGGGGCUGCAGUCGAGGAUCUUCUGCAAUGGGCGCAAGCCUGACAGAGCGACGCCGCGUGAGGGAGGAAGGCCUUCGGGUUGUAAACCUCGUGCGUAAAUGGUGAGGCCGGUGAGGAAGCCACGGCUAACUUCGUGCCAGCAGCCGCGGUAAGACGAAGGUGGCGAGCGUUGUUCGGAAUCACUGGGCAUAAAGAGCACGUAGGCGGCUAAGUCAGUCGGAUGUGAAAUACCUCGGCUCAACCGAGGAACUGCGUCCGAUACUGCUUGGCUUGAGGUCCGGAGGGGAGAGUGGAAUUCCCGGUGGAGCGGUGAAAUGCGUAGAGAUCGGGAAGAACGCCGGCGGCGAAAGCGACUCUCUGGUCGGAUCUGACGCUGAGGUGCGAAAGCUAGGGGAGCAAACGGGAUUAGAUACCCUUGUAGUC
rnacentral:rRNA from 1 species